ACUGGGAAAAAACAGGUAACGAUCGUGAAGUCAGGGAUAAAAGUACUGGCAAGCGGAUCGGUGGCAAAAAGAAUUAUGUUUACUAUAAACGUGGUGGUUCUCCUAAGCAGAAGAUCAAGACUGACUGGGUUAUGCACGAGUACUAUGUUGAUGAUGACGACCCUCGUUAUAAGAAGGAUUUUGUUUUCCGCUACGUAGAAAAAAAUCCAACGGGCAAGCCUAAUACUUCAACUCCCUGAUGGUCAACCGAGUCACCGUUUGGCUUCUGAUGCUGAAACCUAUGCAGAAAAAACUUCUACAGAGGUAGAAUCUCAGCAACCGUCGACUCACUGUUUGGGCAAUGAGUUCUUGGAAGUAGAAUCUGAGUUACAAUCAAAUCACAGUUUGGUUUC